AGCUCCAAUAGCGUAUAUUAAAGUUGUUGCAGUUAAAAGCUCGUAGUUGGAUUUCUGGUGUGAGCGUCUUGCCGGCCCAAACGGGUCUGUGCAGGCACGCCUCUCGCCAUCCUUGCGUCUAACUUGUCUGGCAUUAAGUUGUCGGGCUUGGGAAGCGCAUCGUUUACUGUGAAAAAUUAGAGUGUUCAAAGCAGGCUUACGCCGUUGAAUACAUUAGCAUGGAAUAAUAAGAUAGGACCUUGGUGCUAUUUUGUUGGUUUGCGUACCGAGGUAAUGAUUAAUAGGGACAGUUGGGGGUAUUUGUAUUCCAUUGUCAGAGGUGAAAUUCUUGGAUUUAUGGAAGACAAACUACUGCGAAAGCAUUUACCAAGGAUGUUUUCA
rnacentral:rRNA from 1 species